UACGUAGGGGGCAAGCGCUGUCCGGAUUCACUGGGUGUAAAGGGUGUGUAGGCGGGCUGGUGUGUCGAUGGUGAAAGCCCUCCGCUCAACGGAGGAACUGCUGUCGAAACUACCAGCCUAGAGGACGGGAGAGGGAGCUGGAACUUCCGGUGUAGCGGUAAAAUGCGUGGAUAUCGGAAGGAACGCCAAUGGCGAAGGCAGGCUCCCGGAACGCUCCUGACGCUGAAACACGAAAGCUAGGGGAGCAAACAGG
rnacentral:rRNA from 1 species